CCCACGAGGGGGGACGCGGCAUUGGAGCAUGCACAAAAAUACCGCGGGGCAAAUAGUGCUGGUGGAUAUUUGGUGGCCAGGCAUCAAGGGAGCAGAAGCUCACAGGCUGAUCGCAUUCAAGACAGCUGGCAGGGCAUCCAUAAGAAGCGAUCCAGGCCUUAAAGAUCGCAUCUACCCUGGCAGUAAGCAACACAGGAGUUUGUCCAGGAAGACCCAGGCUCCUACUUUCUACUUGACAUUAUGAAAAGCAGCUAAUACAGUUGAAGGUCAGGAUGUAUCCACAUGAUUAAUAUGUGCAACCUGGGAGGGGGAUCAGGAGGGGGAAAUCAGAGGAAGGUGCUCCCAUGAUGGGCAUACCCAGUAUUCCUCCUGUGAACAAAAGAGUAUCAGGUCACCCCACAACUGAAGAUGGUGUCUGCAGGCAAGAAGCAUGGGUCUUCUGCUAAUUAACCUCCAACGUACCCUGAGGUACUGCUUACGCAGCAGUACAGACAGAACUCCUGUUGUUUUGGAAUACAACUCCACCACUGCAGACAGCAGGUUUUUUUGUUUACCUGUAGUGGUAAACAAAAAUUCAUAAUGAGCGUAUUCCUGUUCGGAUAGGCUAAGAUGUGCCAGAUUUGUACAGUGCAAAUAGCCAGUUUGCUGAACAGUGCACUUCCCUAGUAAGCUGAAGGUUAAUGUUAAAGGGAAUUCAAACUGUACGUUUCUCCCCUGGCCGAGCACUUGGAAGAAACACAGCACUCCUGUUUCAUCUUCCCUUCUGUGUGAGACUGAGACUAUUACAUCAGGUUUGGUGAGUGACUGUGGGAAGUGCAGAUUGGAAUAGGAGCAAGGCACCUGUCUAUUCAGGAGGAGCAUUCUUAAAAACCCCAGAGCCUCCGGAACGGGCAGGGAGCUAUGCAGGAAUUUUUAAAGAUCCAAGUUUCAACUUUGGUACCUAUGGCCUUUUAUGAAUGUAACCCAUAAUCUCUAGGUAAAGUCCAUCAGCUCUCCGUUCAGCGUGUCUACAAGGAGUCUACUUAAGCUGAGAUUUAUGCCACUGACAGCAAAUAAACCCCAAGAUAUUACCCCCUUCCCAUGUAUUUGUACUCUAAUUUUAGACGUAGCGCGCAAAGAAUGAGGAAGAGUUAAAGAAUGGAUGACAAGGAAAAAGAGUUAGAUAAAUAACGUCCAGUGCAUACUGAUACAGCCAAGUGUGUGUCUUAAGAAUCAUUAAACCGUUAAGGCUGACGUGUUUAGUUCUUGUGGAUUAUUCUGGAAAUGAUUGGUUGAGGGCAUUCGAGAGGUUUGGGGGCUUUUUUUUUUUCCUACUUUAAGGAGAUAGGUGAGUGAGGACAGGGCAGUAGAAAAUGUUGCACAGUUAGAGAACAAUAAAAGAAAUGCAGACAUUAUUCCCCAGGAGUGGAGUAGGAUUUAAAAAUCAGGCAUAUGCUGUGCAACUAGCAAAGUCUGAACUGGCUCCAGAAUGGGAGCGUAACUGUGUUACUGUGGUACUACAUACAUACUCAUGAGCCCUGCUGAGAGCCAACAAGCUGCAGCGUCUGUGCAGCACUGAACGGGCCGUGCUGAAACACUGAUGUGAGCUGUGUAUUCUUUCCACCUUACUGCACUGUGCAGCAUAGAUAACGUGUGAAAUCACAUGACAAAAGCCAUCAAGCACUUCUCAAUUGGUGGUAAGGCUUGGCAUCAUCCACUUAACCUGCAAGGAAGGAGGAGUGUGGAAUUACCAAACCUGGAUAUUUGUGUCCUGCCUGUACAGCUAGUGCUGCCGGCAGCAUGGCCUCUCAGAGGAUCACUCGGUGCCGCUCACAUUAUUCUAAUCUCCGGCAGCCUGAACUCCGCUACCAGGGUGUUACGGUGAAACGCCAUCUGUAAAGUGAUCAUUCAUCCUCACCCGAGGGUCUCUGAGCACGGAACGAGGUGCUGACUGCAAACGGCUUGGAGCAAAAAGACG